UCUUGUUUCUAUUGGAAUUUAGUGCUUAUAAUGUCUAUCAAUUAUAUUAGCUACUUUAAAAGGCAAAUGAUAAGGACACCAGAGUUUGCUGGUGACCCAACGGUUUACAGGCAGUCUAGUAAUAUAUGUAAAUAUAUGCCUAUCGUUGUCUUAUAUAUUUCUCCUUGUUUUGCACUUACGUGUGUGUAUCAUAUAUGUUAUAUAACUUUUUCUGUUUUUUUUUUUAGUGGGGAAAAUUCAGUAUACAAUUACAAGUUAUCCAUGAGCACAAACAUGCAUAUAUACAAAAUCAAUCUAUUCAGACAAUCACAAGCAUUCGACGCCUGCCUUAAUUAAUGAAAAAAGUGGCUAAUUUGAAUUUCUUUUCUAAUCUGUUGUUUUCAUGGAGAAAUGGUUAUAAUAGAUGAGUUCUUUUCCUAGUUUAUCGAUAAAUAAGGAUGUUCGUGUAAUUUAAAAUUCAAUCACGCACGAUACAAGGUGCUUUCCAGAAGUCUUGAGACAUUUAUUAAUUUCAAAUUACUAAACUCUAAUCUCUGCCAGGAAGGAUUUAUUUUGUCGCGGCGGCGUAACACGCCGUACUAUGGUCCACUUGGAACUAUUUCCAGCUGUCUGCAGAAGAAUACAGAUGCGGCAGCUUCCGGCUACGAGUAUCGUGCGCGGGAGUUGCAGCUCGGCUGGCGAAGGGUUAGCAUCGCAUUUUGAUACGCAAGCCCGACUCUACACCAUGCAACUCUUGGAAUCAUUGAAGCCACGAAGGACCAUCCUUUAGGAAGGACGUCUUUUUGAAUGGUUUUAAAUCUUGAAGAAUCAAAAAAUGCAAGAAACAUUCUCAUGAAGUACUCAACAUCCAAGAAUCCAUCGAACAACAAACCAAUCUCAGAACUGUUGUCUAUAGAAGUUUAGCCACAAGAGUAAGAAGAUAGAACAGGCGACAGCAGCAGCAAAUUUGGAGCACCAAAACCUAUGUCACCAGGGGCAAAAAGCACGGCACAGUUAAGACUAGCUUCUCUAAAGAGGAUUAGGCCAGGAAGUACUCCAUAAUAACUCUAACGAUUGACAAAAUACUCAUCAUCACAAUUUCACUUGGCUGAAGGGUAAUUAAAAUAAAAAUAGCCAUCGUGCCACCAGAAAUAAAUAUUUGCAUGUUGGUGGCACUUAGCCUUUUUGAUAGAGAGGGCAAAAACCAACAUUCAAAGGACAUUUUAAUUACCACUUUCUUUCAGUAAAAAGUUAUGUAAUCUAUAAGCAGGUUUUUCCAUUCCAGGAUAAAUGUGUAUCAUAACAA